GACUCUUGGCAAUGAAUAUUUCUUUCUCUUGUUAUGAAAUGAAGAACACAGAAAAAUGCAAAACUUGGCGUGAAUUACAUAAUUAUGUUAAUCAUUGCGUUUUUGAAUUAAAUUUUUGUUUGAGGCCAU
rnacentral:rRNA from 1 species